CAGCUCAGAAUGUGGAACUGCCAAGCAGGUCAAGCAGUAUCUGUAGAGAAAGAAAGAAAGUUAAUGUUUCUGGUUGAAGACUUUUCAUCAGAACUCACUGACGCAGGAGUAUUCUGGUGAUCUGAUGAAAAAUCUCAACUUUAUUUUGGGUAACUUUGGUUUAUCGACUGAAUAUGAAUCCAAAUAUCUAUUUCCACAUCUGACUUUUUACAAACUGUUCUAAAAUGUUUUAAUUAUCCAGCAUUCCAACAUAAGAAUCAUUGUGGUACAAUACCAACUGCAAAUGUCGAAGAUAUAAUCUUCAAGUAAAACUCCAGACCUUCAAGGUAUUCACCAAUAUGAAUUAAAAUCAGAGAUAAGAUCCCUGCUUUACUGCCCCUUCAUGAUAUAUAAAUUCCUACACUUUCAGCCAUCGUGUGAAAAUUCAGGUUAAUGCUGCAAACACAAUCUAUAAAUCAUUAAGAUUUAGGACAUAAUUAAUGGCAUUGUUGUUAUUUCUCAUAAUCCUCAAAUUGUAAAAUGAUCAAGAGUCAAGAAUACACCAGGAUACAUCAUUUUGGCCACUGAUAUCUGAGAAAAAGUAUAAUUGUGGCAGCAUACUAUUAAUUUUCGGACUCCCAAGAUGACACAUUCCUGCAUUGCACAGCUGAUUGUUCGAAAUCUGUGAAAAGAUAACCCCAGACAUGUCAGUGAGAUUAAUAAAUACCAGACACAACUCAUUGGGUAUUUCUCUUACUGUUGUGUUCAAGGUGUGUGUGAUCUAACUAGAAUUUUACAAUUCGUUCACGAUUAAAUAACUGCUUGUGCACAAUUACGUGUUUGGAUUCAAAAUGUUCCAGAUCUGAAAUAAAAAUAAAUUAUAAGCAAAUUAAGUAAUUAA